UUGGAGGGCAAGUCUGGUGCCAGCAGUCGCGGUAAUUCCAGCUCCAAUAGCGUAUAUUAAAGUUGUUGCAGUUAAAAAGCUCGUAGUUGAAUUUCGGGAUUAGUACGUUGGUCGUGCCUUCGGUACGUACUGGUGUUACUGAUUCCUACCUUCUGACGAACCAUCAUGUCAUUAAUUUGGUGUGGCGGGGAAUCAGGACUGUUACUUUGAAAAAAUUAGAGUGUUUAAAGCAGGCUCGCGCUUGAAUACAUUAGCAUGGAAUAAUGAAAUAGGACGUUGACCCUAUUUUGUUGGUUUCUAGGAUUGACGUAAUGAUUAAUAGGGAUAGUUGGGGGCAUUAGUAUUCAAUUGUCAGAGGUGAAAUUCUUGGAUUUAUUGAAGACUAACUACUGCGAAAGCAUUUGCCAAGGAUGUUUUCAUUAAUCAAGAACGAAAGUUAGGGGAUCGAAGACGAUCAGAUACCGUCGUAGUCUUAACCAUAAACUAUGCCGACUAGGGAUCGGAUGAUGUUAUUUUUAAUGUCUCAUUCGGCGCCUUACGGGAAAC
rnacentral:rRNA from 1 species